GCGAGGUUGGUAUAGUGGUAUUAUGUAACCUUCCCAAGGUUAAGACGCGAGUUCGAUUCUCGUACCUCGCUCCA
rnacentral:tRNA from 1 species